AGACCCGAAACCCGGUGAUCUAGCCAUGGGCAGGUUGAAGGUUGGGUAACACUAACUGGAGGACCGAACCGACUAAUGUUGAAAAAUUAGCGGAUGACCUGUGGCUGGGGGUGAAAGGCCAAUCAAACCGGGAGAUAGCUGGUUCUCCCCGAAAGCUAUUUAGGUAGCGCCUCGUGAACUCAUCUCCGGGGGUAGAGCACUGUUUCGGCUAGGGGGCCAUCCCGGCUUACCAACCCGAUGCAAACUGCGAAUACCGGAGAAUGUUAUCACGGGAGACACACGGCGGGUGCUAACGUCCGUCGUGAAGAGGGAAACAACCCAGACCGCCAGCUAAGGUCCCAAAGUCAUGGUUAAGUGGGAAACGAUGUGGGAAGGCCCAGACAGCCAGGAUGUUGGCUUAGAAGCAGCCAUCAUUUAAAGAAAGCGUAAUAGCUCACUGGUCGAGUCGGCCUGCGCGGAAGAUGUAACGGGGCUAAACCAUGCACCGAAGCUGCGGCAGCGA
rnacentral:rRNA from 1 species